UUCUAAUAUGGCAGAU
rnacentral:tRNA from 1 species